AGAAGCCUGGGGUGUACGAUAACUUGCUAUUUUGAACCUACAUUUAUUUAUCAUGGGACUUCGUAUAAUCGACCGGAUGUCAAGCCCUGAUACCGGGGGACGGCAGAACGUUGAUCGAGAAAACCCACCUAGCUCUGCUAGGCGUCAAAAUCGCGAGACCGGCAUUCCGGGUAUAUG
rfam:Anaerostipes hadrus draft genome.